CAUGUUUAGUGUAAAUUUGGACUUUAAUCUGAAUUGAGUUCGUUUUUGAGUCCAACACUCAUACAUGGGAGUGGACUACGGGUUCGUAAUGGGAUCCGAUUUGGUCUGGUUAGACCAAACAUGACUCGAGAUUUAGAUCCACUGAUGGUUGCCCAUUUUAAUGUGAUCGGAUCGGUUAUUCUUGAGUUCGGAUCGGAUCCGGAUUUGGUUAGAUCCGUUCUGGAUGGCGGUCUUUUAAGCGUUCGCUCUCCCCCCCGCCCUCUUAAUUGCCCCCAAAUCUCCUCCGCUUCCCACUCCCUCUCGAUUCCAAAACCCUCGCUGGCCUCUUCUACAGAUGGAUCGAUCGAUCAUGCGGUGAAGAAGGAAGAGGUACGGCAAGGCCUAUCCCGCCAGAGAGAAGGUGAUCUGCGAGGCUGCAGAUCGAGAUCCAGCACUGUCGGAGCCAACCGAACGUCUUCCGUUUCUUGGCUUGGUUCCAUGAUGAGACCGGCGUCUACUUGGACCUCGAGUUCGCGGUUCAGGAUAAUGAAAGUUGACAUAGCGUUCCCUUCCACUCUCUGUCUGAUGAAGCUAGUGAUGUUAUUGGCAACGACAUUUUGGCAGAAUAUGGUGUUGGCAAAUAACAUAGCACAUGCCUACAUCUGCUGGCAAUGGUUUGGUCGGGUGGAACAGCAAGGAGGAUGCAGUAAGCUUCAUCCGAGUAGUUAAAGCAGCACAACUCCUCGAGGAUGCUGAGGCAAUGCGAGAGUAGGCCAUAUAUCCUGAUGACUGCAGCUGCAAAGCAUCCAACACAAGCGAUUCUGGAGAUUGCAGCAAGCAAAAAGAAGGGAUGCGACAUUGGACGAGCUUGUAUUUCACCGGAUUAUAUUAUUACAACAACAUUAUUUGCUCCAAAAUUGCUAAGGAGAAUGCGUCGGAAUCACCCGAUCUAUCUCGCACUGUGAACUCCAACCAUUUCAUGAGCUCGAUGAGUCUUUUGGAUGGUGAAAAGGUUUCUGGCACGAUUGUCUACGCGGAACACCGGAAUGAAGAUUGCCGGUACGCAUCACACGCAAUACCAUUUUCAAUGAGAUGGUUCAAGUUAUAUGUUUGUAACAUCAUCCCAAUGUGAUUGCAGAAGAAUAGCUCCUCUUAUUAGAUGUUUCGGAUGUUUCACGAUACUGAAAGAGGAAAAUUUGACCCACUACUUCCAGUAGGGUUGAAUGUGAUUAUACCUCAAGGUUUAGUCCUUUUAUGGUAGAUUUUAAA